AUUGAACGCUGGCGGCAUGCUUUACACAUGCAAGUCGAACGGCAGCGCGGGCUUCGGCUUGGCGGCGGGUGGCGAACGGGGAAGGAAUGCAUAAGAAGUUGCCCACUAGUGGGGUAUAGCCGGGCGAAAGCCGGAUUAAGAGCGCAUAACACCAUAGGCUGGAACCGGGGGACGGAAAGGCCGCGCACUAUUUUAUCUCGCGGUGUCGGGUUAGCUAGUUGGUGGGGCAAAGUCGUGCGAAGGCGGCGAUCCGUAGCGGGUCUGAGAGGACGACCAGCCACACUGGGACUGCGGCACGGCCGAGACUCCUACGGGAGGCAGCAGUGGUGAAUUUUGGACAAUGGGGGCAACCCUGAUGCAGCCAUGCCGCGUGCGGGAAGAAGGCCUUCGGCUUGUUAACCGCUUUUGUUCGGGAAGAAAUACUCUGGGCUCAUACCCCGGGGGGAUGACGGUACCGGAAGAAUAAGCACCGGCUAACUACGUG
rnacentral:rRNA from 1 species